GGGUAUGUAGCUCAGUGGUAGUGUGUGUGCUUUAGCAUGCACGAGGUCCUGGGUUCAAUCCCCUGUACCUCCA
rfam:Camelus ferus unplaced genomic scaffold scaffold597, whole genome shotgun sequence.